rnacentral:rRNA from 1 species
UCGCGGCCCAUUAUGCUUGUUGGUGAGGUAACGGCCCACCAAGGCGAUGAUGGGUAUCCGGCCUGAGAGGGUGAACGGACACAUUGGGACUGAGAUACGGCCCAGACUUCUACGGGAGGCAGCAGUUAAGAAUAUUCCGCAAUGGACGAAAGUCUGACGGAGCGACGCCGCGUGGAUGAAGAAUGCCGAAAGGUUGUAAAAUCCUUUUAAGCCUGAUGAAUAAGCACAAUAGGGAAUGAUUGUGCGGUGACCGUAGGGCUUGAAUAAGCACCGGCUAAUUACGUGCCAGCAGCCGCGGUAACACGUAAGGUGCGAGCGUUGUUCGGAAUUAUUGGGCGUAAAGGGCAUGUAGGCGGAUAGGCAAGCUUGGUGUGAAAUGUUACAGCUUAACUGUGAGACAGCAUUGAGAACUGCCGAUCUUGAAUUACUGAAGGGUAACCAGAAUUCCACGUGUAGGGGUGAAAUCUGUAGAUAUGUGGAAGAAUACCAAUGGCGAAGGCAGGUUACCGGCAGAUAAUUGACGCUGAGGUGCGAAAGUGCGGGGAGCAAACAGGAUUAGAUACCCUGGUAGUCCGCACCGUAAACGAUGUACACUAGGUGUCUGGCAUAACAGCUGGGUGCCAAAGCAAACGUGAUAAGUGUACCGCCUGGGGAGUAUGCCCGCAAGGGUGAAACUCAAAGGAAUUGACGGGGGCCCGCACAAGCGGUGGAGCAUGUGGUUUAAUUCGAUGGUACGCGAGGAACCUUACCUGGGUUUGACAUAGUAUCUG